CUACGGGGCGCUCCAGUAGGGAAUAUUGUGCAAUGGGGGAAACCCUGACACAGCCAUGCCGCGUGUGUGAAGAAGGCCCUAGGGUUGUAAAGCACUUUCAGUAGGGAGGAACUAGCACAGCUAAUAACUGUGUGAAAUGACGUUACCUACAGAAGAAGUACCGGCUAACUCCGUGCCAGCAGCCGCGGUAAUACGGAGGGUACGAACGUUAAUCGGAAUUACUGGGCGUAAAGCGCGCGUAGGUGGUUUGUUAAGUGGGAUGUGAAAGCCCUGGGCUCAACCUGGGAAUUGCAUUCCAAACUGUCGAACUAGAGUACGAUAGAGGGGGGUAGAAUUCAGAGUGUAGCGGUGAAAUGCGUAGAUAUUCUGAGGAAUACCGGUGGCGAAGGCGGCCCCCUGGAUUGAUACUGACACUGAGGCGCGAAAGCGUGGGGAGCAAACAGGAUUAGAUACCCCCGUAGUC
rnacentral:rRNA from 1 species